GUCGAUGCCCCUUUUUCUUUUUUUGAUUUUUCUUCUUUUAGGAAACGCCUUUUCAAACAAGAACUGAGUUUUUAAUUUAUUUAUUUCUUAAAAAAAGAAAAAGCUAGAGAAACGCCUCAAUUAGGAAGCAUAAUGGAAAUUAAUUUGGAAAACGUUGAUUUAGAAAGUUUCUCAGUGCUUCAUAUUAGUAGCAAGCAGCAGUAAGAAGAAGAUGAUAGAGAGAGACAGCAAAUGAAAUGAUCAAAAGUUACCCCACCUUCCUAUUCCUGUUCCUGUUCUUCUCCCCAUAAUAAAAUUUAUUUAAAAAAAAAAAAAAAACAAACAUGUUACAUGUUCAAGACCAAGGAAAAAGAAAGAAAGAAAGAAAGAAAGAAAGAGAGUUUUUUUUUUUUUUUGUUUUUCUUUUUUUGAAAAAAUAACAAAUAUUUAUCUACAUAAAUACACAUUCCCUGGUUCCAGGUUUUCUGCUCGCAGGGAAAAAAUCUCCCUGAGGGAAGAGAAAAGAAUUAGAGGAAAAUAACCCACUACUUCUUCUUCUCCUUCUUCUCCUUCUUCUUGUUCUUGUUGUUGUUGUUUUUCUUUUGGUGGGUCUUUGCUUUGUUUAAAGAAUUGAAGGAGCUUUGCCAGAUUUGUAGAGAUCUUCAAUCGCUUUCUCUUUCUCUGACUCUCAUGGAGAAAGCGACAUUUCCUCUUCCCUUUGCCCCUUCUUUUAUUACUAUUUUCUCUUCCGUGAUUUGUGCACUUCUCUCACUUUUCAUUUUCUUAAUAUUCAUUUCUCUUUUAUGUUAUUUCCAUGUUUCUUUUUGCUACAUCUUCACAUUCUUUUUCUUGUUUCUUUGUUUUCUUUUUCUUUUUUGCCCCCUUUUUUUAAACAGUGCAACUGGUCGUCGCCCCUUCACUUGCUGGACUGUUUUUGAGAUCAAGAUGUAAUACUUACUCUCAAUUGAGCAGCUGAUUUGAUUCUCUUUUCUUUCCUUUCUUUUUCUCCUUUGUGACAGAAGCUUAUACUUGGGUAAGGGAAAAGAAUAUGUGGAUCUCCAAGUAUAGUUUGCUGCCAUGGAUGGAUGAUCAUGAACACCUCAUCUUGAUUUGAUUUCGUUUUCAUCAUGUUCUUUUUAUAUCUGGGUUAUGCAGCGAUCUAGGCUGGUUUCGCAAUUUUGCUUUUCUUGUUAACUUUUUUGCAGGUCUCUUCACUUAGGGUUUUAGGCUCCAUGCAAACCUAUUAUUCUCCAGUAUGGAGGAGUUAAGAAUUCAUCGCUUGAAAUUCUAAGUACCCAAUUCUUGAAUCAGUACUAUUCUCUCGCAUUCCAGCUAGCUUAUUGGAUUUCUAUACCCUUGCUUGAUGUGUAAGGCUAGGUUUUAGAGGAUUCUUCCUUUUACUGAAAGUGGAAACCUUUCUUUGAGUAAGGGUUGGGACUGCAAGUGUGCUGGCUGUUGCUUUCUCUGGCUUGGCCUCCAGCCAGAAGUCAUAAAUUGAUUGAUUGCUGUUAUCUCCCAUUUUCAGUUCUUACUGUAAGUGCUUGUUUGCUUCCUGUCGUUUCUACUGAGAUAAUUGUCUCUGAUCUUUGCAAUAUCAGACAUGAAAUAUGAAGCAUUUAAUUUCAUUUUUGCUGAAAUGAAGGGAAGAGUGUCAUUCCCGUUUGGCAGGUUGAUUGACCCAGCUCUUUAAAUUGAAGAGCAGAUCCACAUGUUCAAUGAUUAAAUUCGAUUAGUGAGUUUGAGUCAUUAUACAUGAUAUGCUCUUAAUCCUCCUCUUCAAUCUGUUUAGCCAAGUCUGUUUUAAUGGUUAAUAGGUUGGUGUGAUGUUAAGUUGUCAACAAUGUUAACCAGGACAAUUUCCUUUCUUUUCACAUGUACAUAUAUAUUAUAUGAAGAAAAUGGUUUAAGAGAGCUCUCUUCAGUCCACUCAUGGGCGGGCGAAGGUUUUGAAUUAUCUGCCGACUCAUUCAUUCAAA